GUUCUCAUCUAUGAUGGCACUGCA
rnacentral:siRNA from 1 species